GAGGAGCCGGGGCAGCUGUCCCCUGGCGUGCAGUUCCAGCGGCGGCAGAACCAGCGCCGCUUCUCCAUGGAGGACGUCAGCAAGAGGCUCUCUCUGCCCAUGGAUAUCCGCCUGCCCCAGGAAUUCCUACAGAAGCUACAGAUGGAGAGCCCAGAUCUGCCCAAGCCGCUCAGCCGCAUGUCCCGCCGGGCCUCCCUGUCAGACAUUGGCUUUGGGAAACUGGAAACAUACGUGAAACUGGACAAACUGGGAGAGGGCACCUAUGCCACAGUCUUCAAAGGGCGCAGCAAACUGACGGAGAACCUUGUGGCCCUGAAAGAGAUCCGGCUGGAGCACGAGGAGGGAGCGCCCUGCACUGCCAUCCGAGAGGUGUCUCUGCUGAAGAACCUGAAGCACGCCAAUAUUGUGACCCUGCAUGACCUCAUCCACACAGAUCGGUCCCUCACCCUGGUGUUUGAGUACCUGGACAGUGACCUGAAGCAGUAUCUGGACCACUGUGGGAACCUCAUGAGCAUGCACAACGUCAAGGUGAGGCCUCGGGGGCAGGGUCCCCCCAUCUUGGCAGCCACCUGUCCAGAAGCCCAGUGUGGGGACCCACUCUCACCACCAGGGAUCCGGCUGCUGAGGUGGCUCAGACCUUCCCACAUAGGAAAGAGGGAGAGGGCAAUGCCAUCAACGAGUCCAGGAACUGGGUUGAGCGCUUUACCCCAAGAACAGACACACACUGUCUGCCACUGUCUAGCUGUUGGUAUAAAACCCACUCUCAACUCUGAACAUCAGUUUCCCAGUCUGUCAAAUGGGAGUGUGAACUACCUGCCAAAAUGCAGGGAGGCUUCUGGGUAAGCUCGGGGUUAUGAAUGACCUCUCCUGGUGUUUGUUAAAGAAUCAAGGCUGGGCAUGGUGGCCCACGCCUGUAAUCCCAGCACUGGGAGGCCAAGGCAGGAAGAUGGCUUG
rnacentral:sRNA from 1 species